rnacentral:rRNA from 1 species
GGAAUAUUGGACAAUGGGCGAAAGCCUGAUCCAGCAAUGCCGCGUGUGUGAAGAAGGCCUGCGGGUUGUAAAGCACUUUCAGUAGAGAAGAAAAGCGAAAGGUUAAUACCCUUUAGUCUUGACGUAACCUACAGAAGAAGCACCGGCUAACUCCGUGCCAGCAGCCGCGGUAAUACGGAGGGUGCAAGCGUUAAUCGGAAUUACUGGGCGUAAAGCGCGCGUAGGCGGUUUUGUCAGUCGGAUGUGAAAGCCCUGGGCUUAACCUGGGAAUUGCAUUCGAUACUGCAUUACGAGAGUACGGUAGAGGGAAGUGGAAUUUCCGGUGUAGCGGUGAAAUGCGUAGAUAUCGGAAGGAACACCAGUGGCGAAGGCGACUUCCUGGGCCAGUACUGACGCUGAGGCGCGAAAGCGUGGGGAGCA